ACAAUUUACACAUACAAUAAAAAUACAGGGAGAAAAAAAAAAUGCAACCAGUAUAUUUACAUUUCCUGUGACAGUUAGUGCUCACAGGUCUGCACUGUGGAUGGAGGAAG